CCAGAACAAGGUUUAAGGGAUCAUCGGAAAUCAUUGGAAGGAAAACAAUGGAAGUUGUUUUGGAUUCCGCACUGCAACCAGACCUUCCCCAAUGAGUGUACAGGAACCACACAAACAGGGAAGUAAAAUAAUGGUUUCUUUAUUACAGGACAUUUAAAUAAUUACACUUAUUUUAUAAGACAAUUUGCAACUCCCCCCUUUCAACCACCUUUAUUAUUUGUUUAGCCUGGAACUGUUCACCAAGUAAAACCGCUAAAAUCGUCCAUAAAACAUUUUAAACAGGCUACUUGUGACUUCAGGGGGCUAUUAGUAUUAAUUAUUCCACUCCACAUGAUAUGACAGCACAGUCCUGAGCAAUAUAAGCAGCGGUUUGGUGAAAUGAUCAUUCCAGAAUAGUAAGAAAAAAAAAAAAAAAAAAAAAAAAAAAAAACC